GAUGAACGCUGGCGGCGUGCCUAAUACAUGCAAGUCGAGCGAACGGACGAGAAGCUUGCUUCUCUGAUGUUAGCGGCGGACGGGUGAGUAACACGUGGAUAACCUACCUAUAAGACUGGGAUAACUUCGGGAAACCGGAGCUAAUACCGGAUAAUAUUUUGAACCGCAUGGUUCAAAAGUGAAAGACGGUCUUGCUGUCACUUAUAGAUGGAUACGCGCUGCAUUAGCUAGUUGGUAAGGUAACGGCUUACCAAGGCAACGAUGCAUAGCCUACCUGAGAGGGUGAUCGGCCACACUGGAACUGAGACACGGUCCAGACUCCUACGGGAGGCAGCAGUAGGGAAUCUUCCGCAAUGGGCGAAAGCCUGACGGAGCAACGCCGCGUGAGUGAUGAAGGUCUUCGGAUCGUAAAACUCUGUUAUUAGGGAAGAACAUAUGUGUAAGUAACUGUGCACAUCUUGACGGUACCUAAUCAGAAAGCCACGGCUAACUACGUG
rnacentral:rRNA from 1 species